rfam:Glycine soja cultivar W05 scaffold3667_22, whole genome shotgun sequence.
GAGCUGUGAUGACAAUUGUGUCAGCUGUGAUAGAUGGGUCUGUCACAACUUUCUGAUUUUCUGAAGAAUGGAGCACUCCUGAGCUC